rnacentral:rRNA from 1 species
AGUGAACGCUGGCGGCGUGCUUAACACAUGCAAGUCGAACGAGAACGGAAUAUAGCUUGCUAUAUUUGUCAGCUAAGUGGCGCACGGGUGAGUAAUAUAUAGAUAACCUGCCCUUAAGGAAGGAAUAACAGUUGGAAACGACUGCUAAUGCCCUAUAUGCCUUUAAUACAUAAGUAUGCAAGGGAAACGCUUUAGUGCUUAAGGAUGGGUCUGUAUGGUAUCAGCUUGUUGGUGAGGUAAUGGCUCACCAAGGCUAUGACGCCUAACUGGUUUGAGAGGAUGAUCAGUCACACUGGAACUGAGACACGGUCCAGACUCCUACGGGAGGCAGUAGUGGGGAAUAUUGCACAAUGGACGAAAGUCUGAUGCAGCAACGCCGCGUGGAGGAUGACACAUUUCGGUGCGUAAACUCCUUUUAUAUAGGAAGAUAAUGACGGUACUAUAUGAAUAAGCACCGGCUAACUCCGUGCCAGCCGCCGCGGUAAUAC